UACGUAGGGUGCAAGCGUUAAUCGGAAUUACUGGGCGUAAAGCGUGCGCAGGCGGUUGUGUAAGACAGAUGUGAAAUCCCCGGGCUCAACCUGGGAACUGCAUUUGUGACUGCACAGCUGGAGUGCGGCAGAGGGGGGAUGGAAUUCCGCGUGUAGCAGUGAAAUGCGUAGAUAUGCGGAGGAACACCGAUGGCGAAGGCAAUCCCCUGGGCCUGCACUGACGCUCAUGCACGAAAGCGUUGGGGAGCAAACAGG
rnacentral:rRNA from 1 species